rnacentral:tRNA from 21 species
UCGAAAUCGGAAAAUCCGUCGACUUUAAAAAUCAUGAGGGUUCAA